AUCUUCGCUUGCUUUUGCUUGUGGCAACUUAAGUACAGACAUGCCCGCACUUGUCUUAUACUUGUAAGUUCCAAUGAGUUGGGCAUACUGCUUCUUUCCCCAAUGCAAAAUUGAGUUCAAACUAUAGGAAAAAAGGUAUGAUUCUGUUGCAGCAUUGUUUCUUAUGUCACACAUUUGAGUUGACUUCAUUUUCUCACAUUGAUCACAAAUUAUGUGUUUGACUGCUUCUUGCCAUCCAAUGUUCUAUUAUUUGUGGAAACAUCUGAUGUAAUGCCAUCCAUGCAACAUGGACUGAAGGAUUACAUUAUACAUAACUAUAUUUGAUUUUAUAUUGGAGUGUGCCUAAGUUGUGUUCCAACACUGUAAUAUAACUGAUGUCAUUUGGCACUGUGUCAACAAAUGUAUGCGCUGAAUUUUGGUGAUGACUUUUAACGGAAAAACUUGCGUGCUGAAGAAGACAAUUAAGCUGAUAAACAGUUGGAUGGAUAGAUGCACAACACUAAAUAAUAGUAGCUUCCUGUGUUGACAAGAAUCCUCUCCAUUCCAUAUUGGUUCUUUCUGACCUGUCUUACUAUCUUGCAAACGAAACUGACUUUUGGCAUGCAAUGUAUUAUGCACAAAGUGUAUUUCAUGUUGAGUCCAUGUAAUUUGUGAAUUUAUCCAUGUGACCUGUAAUUUCAAAUUGCUAUACCUGCAGUUUCUUUUAUGAAUCAUUUUUCUGAACACCUGUACUAAUAAGACAUUUUAGUCACAUGCUACUCAAGUGAUUUUAGAUGGAACACUUCUAUGCACAUAGAAAACUAUCCUUCUAAUCAGUCUUCCAUAUCCUUCCUCAUUGGAUGGAACACAUCAAUUUCCAGUGACCUAUGUGGUAAAUAGUACAAGGCACCGCUUAACAACUUAUCAUUUACUACCUCCAUGCUAAAAUAUAACAAUUUCUAGUUAUGUAUCUAGGAAUACCCUUGUCUAGAUACAUAAUGGAUAUACCCUUAUCCAGAUACAUAACCAGAAAGAGUUAUAUUUCAGAACGGAGAGAGUAGUUUACAAACAGCUUACUGAUCUAGUUUUAUAUGCCACAGUUUGGUUUGUUGCUAUCACUUUAACAGUAUACAUAUCUGCAAGGCACGCUUUUGCAACGAGCCUUGCUUAUCCAACCAGUAGGUAAAAUUAUAGGCAAUGGUCGAAUAAAACAUCAGUACGGUUCGCAUAUGAACCUAUCCAUACAACACGUACUUCUAUAUGUAAUCUGCCUGUCGCUUUUCUUUUCAGGACCUGGUUCAUAUUGGCCUCGGGUGGCAAGCGAGGGAAUCUGUGCAUUCGACGAUACUUCAGACAUUGCCUGUUCAUGAGCGUUGAUGAAGAUGAGAUGAACAGUAGACCCACACAAAAAAAAAAACAUGAUUCUUGUAAGGCAAAGAACGGAUUGACAAGGUAAUAGUAUUCGAGCAAUCUCAUGCAUCUUCUGUUUUACCCAGACAGACAACCGUUGUUGAAUUUUCCCAGGUAGCACUUGAUGUGGGUGACUUUUCAUUUGCAUGGUCACCAUAUAAUUUUUACUGACAGUGUUGUUCCACUUGCUAGUUACCUUGUGUAUGUAAUUCAGAACUAUUACGUCAGAUUAGAAUAUUACAAAGCAGAGGAGCG
rnacentral:lncRNA from 1 species